rnacentral:rRNA from 1 species
CUCGCCCUACGGGAGGCAGCAGUAGGGAAUCUUCCACAAUGGGCGAAAGCCUGAUGGAGCAACGCCGCGUGGGUGAAGAAGGUCUUCGGAUCGUAAAACCCUGUUGUUAGAGAAGAAAGUGCGUGAGAGUAACUGUUCACGUUUCGACGGUAUCUAACCAGAAAGCCACGGCUAACUACGUGCCAGCAGCCGCGGUAAUACGUAGGUGGCAAGCGUUAUCCGGAUUUACUGGGUGUAAAGGGUGCGUAGGCGGCUUGGCAAGUCAGUAGUGAAAUCCAUGGGCUUAACCCAUGAACUGCUAUUGA